rnacentral:tRNA from 1 species
GCGGGAGUGCCGGAGUGGCCAAACGGGACGGGUUUAGGCCCCGUUGACUUAGUGUCUACGCAGGUUCAAAUCCUGUCUCCCGCA